CGCCGGGGCUCCCGAGCUGCCCGAACCCCGCCUCGCUGCCUUCCGCGCCUAGAUGAUACCCGCGUCUACACUGGCAACCCGAGCCGCGUCGGGGGCCCCGCACGAGCGCGCCUCUCCACGGGGAAGCUUCUGGGAUGAGCGGAGUUGGUGUGGGGAUGGAGACGGCAAAGACGCAGGCCUGGCCAAUCAGAACCGUGAUCCUUUGUGGCUGGAGCCAAAGUGGGAAAGGAGCUGGAGGCCUAAGGGGCCGGGGGUGACGGCUUCUCUGCCGUGAGGACCAAUUAUCCCGAGGGAGAGGAAGGACAAGUGGUGGGACUUCCGUGAGACAGGAGCAGGUCUAUCAACCGGCCUGUCGCUGUGUCAGGGGAUCCUGCCAGUUGAUUUGGUGGGGAUUUUGCAGCAGUUAUUCUGUCGAGGGAAGGGGAGAGAAGAAUCAUAGUGCUUCCGUUAAGGAGAAUCCAUUCAUCUUGACCUAUGCAAUGACCAUGAUUCCAAAAAGAGACCACACUUUUACCAGUAACACUGAGUGCGGCUGGGCAACUACAGAACGCUCCCUCACUCCCUCCUCAUCAGUGCGACUCCAAUUCUCGUUUCCUGUUUGGAGGCAUCUCCAGGCUACCACACACCUCCUGUUGGAAUCAAGAGUAAAGGCGUUACUUUCUCCAGACAUACUCGUUUUUAACUGCCCAAAAGUUCCUCGUUCUUGAGUGGACGAAUUAUUUUAUUGAGCUUUUUAUUGGCUGACAAAUCAGUGCUAAACUUCAGGGGUAGAAACCUUUAGAUGCAACCCUUACAGAUCCACCAGAUCAGCCUCCGAAUUUGUCUCUUUAAGAAGAGGCAAGACUAUUUUGUCCUGGGGGCCCACCAGCAAGAAUUUCUCUACUGUCUCUAUUUCUUGGCACCUGUUUUACUAACAUGCUCACCAUUCUUAUGCCAAACCUACCCAUCUCCAAACCCAGCAGAAGGCAACCUUUGCCAGUGUUAUUGCUGCCCUCUCUUCUGGAAUCCUCCCUCUGCCCAGCGCUUCCUUAUGUGCCAGGCUUUCUGGCUGUUUGUCUGGACCACUUUCUUUGCUCACUGCAGAAAAACACAGAUUGAGGCUGCAGAUGCUGGGCUGCCCUGGAAGGAGAAUUCUUUCCCAUUUUUCCGAAGUCCUUCCUCAAUCACUCUGCAUCCUAAAUAGGUAACCAAAGCCUCUGGCCUCAGCACCUUCCCAGCCUCCCACCCAUUCCUCAGCUAACUGCCAAUAAAAAUUACAAUCUCACCAACGCUAGUGAGAAUUUAGUGAACUAGGCAUGCUCAUUUUAUGUUUCCAUAUUAUCCAAGCUGCUCUGGAAAGCAUGAACGAAAAGCCGUUAACUCCUUGACUCUGUAUUUUCAGCUCUGAAAAAAUAAUCCAUGGUUAAAUUAUAGCAUACUCACUCAAAGUAGUUAUUAAAAGCAGACUAUAUAGCAACAUGGGAAACUCUGCCUCCAAAAAAAAAAAAGCUAGAAAGAAAAAUCUUCAAACUACAAUUGCUGUUACAUUAGCAUGAUGGGGGCCUUGAAGCAGUGACACUUCCAUCAAAGAUGAUUUACACUUUGUGAUUACUUAUAUGUUUUGAUUUUUGAAUAGGAGAAGAAAACAGAUCAUGCUAGACCUCCCCACAGGACUCAAUAAAACUUUUGUCAAACGACUACACACAUAGUCACAAAAUAUUGCCUAUUACAAAUUCUCAGAGUCUUGAACCCAAGUCAUUGAGCACCUAUUUUCAGGUCCUACAUAGGGAUUUCUCUCCCUUAUCAUUCAAUCCUCAUAAUAACCCUGUGAGGUUGGCCUCAAUUUUGCAUAUGAAGAAACAGCUAUUUCAACAUAUGAAGUCACUAUCCAAGGUCAUACCGGGGUGUCAGAGCCAAAAGUCAAACAUCCAGUAUUCUGACUGGUUGUUCAUUGUUCUUUUCAGUAUUUUUCUAGAUCCUUAAACCCGAGCUAAAUGUCACAAUUAAUACUAUCCCCAGAAACCAAGUUUCUGUCAUCUCAAAUUGGCAGGAGCACAGUCACUCAAUAUUAGAGACCUUUCCUGGGUUCCAUCACCGAUCUUGGCAAUAACAAUCACCCUGCUUUCCGAGUGUGAGUUGCCCGUUAUUAAAAUGCCUUUCACUAAAUCCUAAGAUGCCCACGGCUUUGCGUAAAAAAGACUGUCACAAAAACGAGGGGGCUGGUUGUCCCCCCACGGCCCGAGGGGGUUUCCCAUGGUUGUCAAUGGGCCGUGUGGGCUCUUUCCCGGGGCCACGUGGGAAGGUGUGAGCUUCUUCAGGGUCGUGCCGGUGGCCGCGCGGACGCCAGGCUCGCAGAGAACCUCGCUCCCCCGGCGGGGAACCGACGCUGCCGCGCCGCGUGCCUCCCCACGGGGCCCUCGGCCCAGCCGCCCCCCCAGG